UCUAGACCUUUACCAAAACAUUUUUAUUAAAACUCAUGACUCACUCAUUAUCAUUUUUCAGAAUAAAAGAUUGAAAUUUGGUUUUUGUUAAUUUCGUGGCAGGGGUUACUGUCGUGGAGUUCUUAUUUCAACACCCUUGCUAGUCGGGUCUCAACUGAUCGUGUCCUUCUGCAGCAACUUAACAGUGUAUUUACGUUUUUUUAUAAAUUUCUUAAUUACAGUGUUGUUAUGCUUCAUAAUUACUGUUUUGUGCGAAUUUUUGUCAUGCAUACUAAUUACGUAAUUACAGACAUAUAAGCAAAGUUCAAAUUGAACUGUUCAAUAUCGGUAGAGACUUAUAAAUAAACAAGAUAAAUGUGGCGACAUACAGUUAGCGUGGAAUGAGACAAUAAUAAUGCCUCACAUUGCUUAUCAAACGACCUUUGCAUUUAAAUGUGAGUAAUAUAGAGAUAAGUAUUAAAUAACAAGUGCUUGAACUGUUAUGUUUACUGAAGUAUGUAUAGUGAAACCAAGUACCUACUAAAAGACUUAAAAUUUUCUUAUUUUUCCCAGACUUCAUCAAAAGUAAAAAACCAUAAAUAUAACAAAAAAGGAGAGUUCAGAUAAAAGAUGCCGCAAAGCUCAAUUAUGCAUGUUGACUCCACAAUCGCUAGGAUUCUGCUUUUCUCAGGCAUGGCAGAAAACUAGAAUCCGAUGAUUUUGAGGAACAGGAAAAACCUUAAAGGGCGAAAAACUUACAAUCUAAUGACAUAAUAGCGCGUAUAAUCACUUCAGGCCUUUCGAAAAUGCCUCCUUUACAACCCGAAGAAGAAGAAGACCACUGGUCCGCAAUUUCCAGCAAGGCAGGAUGGAACCACGGCACAUAGAGGUAGGUUCUCAAAAGAGACAACGGAGCAUUUUUCCGAGAAAAUGUUACUCGGAUGAUAUCGACUAUCCUCCAGGCUCUGUAGAUUACCAGACCUACCUCUAGGGACACCUCAACAUCAACAGUUGAAGUCCCACAAGAAAGCAUCCGACGCGAAAUCGUCAGCCUCAACCCAGAUCAUGAGGUCAUGAUUGCAAGAAUGUCUGGCGCUGGACGCCAUUUAAGCAGGAUUAUUUAUGAUCAUCGUCAUCAUCAUCAUAAGGGAAUUAGUUCUAGUCGUAAGAUUGGUUGGAUCUUCGCAUUUCCUUAAAACUAGAACAUCCCAUAUCCUUAACUAUUUGUGAACAGUAAUCUAAUCUAGGUCUACCUCUAAUCCUCUUAAUUCCUGUUCCUGCUUCCAGUAUGUCUCUAACUUACCCUUCAUGCCUGAAAAGGUUUCUUAUCAACCUAUCUCGCCUAUUUCUUAUUGACUUCCAUAGCCCUCUGCUCUUCUAUUCUUUCUAAUACCUCUUCAUUUCUAACAUUCUCUAUCUAUGUUAUCAUCAUUCGACUGUAACACCGCAUAAUAUAUGUUUAAAUAAAUAAUUUUAAGUUCGCAUUUACUCGAGUGUUUAUUAUUACGUAGUUGAAGUGUAAAAUCGGACAUCCUGAAUUUGUAGGUGAUGAUGGUGACUGACGUUCUUUCUUCUUUUUCAAAUAACCCCUUCCCGUUUCAGGAAUCCGCGAUUUGGAGUUCGUUUGGUUUAGAAUCGUAACCGAGUCAUCAUUUCGGGCAAGUUUAUGCAAUGUUUAAACAGUCGUGUAAUCAGUCGCCGCGUGCAUACAUUUACAUGACACGUAACAGUAGAUGAAAAGGGGUUGCCAUAGCGCCCCCGCGGCGUCGAUCCGACGCUGCUGUCGGCCGCACAGACUGCGGGUAUCUCACCCUCUCAUUGUGCCGCAAUUAUGUAAAGUGAUGGAUUUAAUCGAGGAGGACCUAAAGCAAGCUAGCUAUACCUACGAAAAUUUAAGUGUUUCAGAAGAACACGAUUCUUUAUUUUAAUAUGGAUGUGAUUAUCACGAUACGUAUUAUACCUGCGUCUGUUGGUACGUAUUUACCGGGAAAUAGUUUUUUAUUGAUUCGCUGAUACUUAUUUUACUUGAAAUCUCCUCCUGGUGUUCUCUUGCGUUGGUAGGUUAGAUGAGAAGCGUUAGAUAUGGUGCUUCCAACACGACAUCAUCGACUUGGAACUUAAUAAGAAAAAUGCGAGAUAGGUUGGCAGGGCAUAUUCUUAAGCAUGAAGGGCUAGUUAG